GCCAGCAUGGUGUAGUGGUUUGAAUAUUGGAUUAUGAAUCUGGAGUCCAGGGUUCAAAUCCUGGUUCGGCCA